AGCGAAUCGUAAGCGAUGCUUCAGGCUCAAGAAAAGGAGCCUAAAGAUGUGCCGAUGCAAUGUGAUGAUCCGUUCCUUUUUUUUGCGACUCCGCCAUUGAUGUGCUAUGGCGCUUGAGAUUUGCAGGUCAGGUCCUUUGGAUUGGACUGCAGCGUAGGUGAGCCCAGGGUACAGGUCGGUAAUUGCUCUGUUUCCCGUUCAUAGACAGCAGGGAAGCUUCACCCGCAUACUUUUAUUUGUCAGCAUCGAUCGAUCAAUGCGUUGUCCUCGUAGAAAAAGAAGAGCGCUUGGCUUGAUAACCAAGGGAUCGUACAAAGCUCGCCGCUGAUGGAGCUAGGUGCUCCCGUCCAUAGUUUUCACAAGAUGGGCUGCCAAUCCAAGAUGGUAAUGAUAUGUUGAGUUUGGCAUUCCAUCAACAAAGAAACUGUCGCGAGAUGCAUUGGAGGCUCUGGAAGUUUCACAACAACACACAAAAAAAGUCUUCCCAAAAGAAGUCCCAGUCGACCUAUAGCUAUAGUCCUCAUUCUUGACGCUUCAGGUUCAAGAAAAGGAACUUUAUGAUGGAAAAAUGGACUUCAGUCUGCUCAACCCUUCAUGUUACUGUGCCGGCCGAGAUGUGCUUGGUCGCUGGUGGUUGAGAUUUCAGAUCAGGAGCUCUGGAGUCUGGACUCUGGACUGCAGCGAGCCAAAUCAGUCACCGGUUUGCUUCCCACAUCGCGGACAACGGCAACCUGCAGUCGCUUGCUUUCGUCCUUGAAUUGCCACCGUCAUUGCCAUCAUCGCAAAGUAGUGUACAAAGGUUUUUUGGAUUCAGAUCCUGACUAUCUCAUGCCCUAUUUCACCCCUCAUUUCAAACUCUACUUUGUAAACAGUACAUAUACAGUGCAAAACAGUAUUAUGUACGUUCAUAUGCACACGGUUACUAGAGAUGACAUCAUAGGGAAGGAACUCCAAACUUGUACAAGCCCUGAUCUAGAUGGAUAUUAUGGAG
rnacentral:misc_RNA from 1 species